GGGCAUGGGUGCUGCUGAGCAAGUAUUUUAAGGAAAUGAUCCAGAAUCCCCCGCCUCUGGCUUGGCAUAAUCAAUGUCAUUACUGCUUGUCUGGAAGCUUUGUCUUUUCUUGGAAAGGACCCAGGACUGGCAGAUUCAAGUAGUCAGUGUGGUGACUGGUGAAGGACGGAGGCUGCCAAACCAAGUGCAGGGAGGCUGGGCGCCCUUGAGCACUGGAUUCUGAGUAAAGGACCUGGGUUCCAGUCCCAACUUUGCCACUGUGGAUUUUCUCUUUUGACCUUUGAUGAGGUCCUUAACAGCUCUGUUUUCUCAUCCUCCUGAUCAAGUGAGACCAUUAUAAAAAUAAACAUAUGGGUUAUAAAAUAUAUAUUUUUUUAGGCAAGCUACAAAUGCAAGCAGUUAAAUGUUAUUUGGGGUUCCAUGUCAGCACAAAGAUAUAUAGCUGUUUUUUUCAUCCAGUGGUAUCCUUCAUGGACUUUCAGGGAGCAAGUGGGCACUUUGGUGAGCAUUGAUGCUGGUAGCCAACUCUCCCUGGCAUUGCUUUGGGGAAAAGAGAUUGUAAUAGUGUUUCCAGAGAAAAAGAACCACUAGGAUAUCUGUUUAUAUCUGCCUGUCUGUCUAUCUAUCUAUCUAUCUAUCUAUCUAUCUAUCUAAAAUGAGAUUUAUCAUGAGGAAUUGGCUCAUGUGAUUAUGGAAGCUGAGAAGUUCCAUGAUCUUCCAACUGCAACCUGGAGACCCAGGGGAGACAGUGGUGUAAUUCAGUCUGAGUCUGAAGGGCUGAGAACCAGGGGAGCCAAUGAUGUAAAGAGCAGGGAUGUAAAGUCCGAGGGCAGGGAAAAUGAAAUGAGAUGUACUAGCUUAAGUAGCAAGGUAGGAAAGAAAGGGGCAAAUUCCUCCUCUGCCUAUUGCGGUGUUCAGAUGCUCAGUGGAUUGGGUGAUGUCCACCCACAUGGGGGAGGGCAGUCCACUGAUUCAAAUGCUAAUCUCAUCCAGAAACAUCCUCACAGACAGGCACACCCAGAAACGAUGUUUAAUCUGGUCACCCUGAGGCCCACUCAGAUUGACACCUAAAAUUAAUUGGCACAGAAGGUGAUGUCCCUAGGCAAUGCUGAGCUCCUGCAAGAUCAAGUAUAAACUUCUUAGCCUGAUAUUUGGGGUCUUCCAUAAUCACUCCCCACCCAAACUCCUCAAUCUCAUUUCUUUACUCCAUCAGGUAUACCCUCCUCCUUAGUCAAACCUCAUUUGUCACUGGACGUACCUGUAGUCUUUUUUGCAGUGUUCCUUCCUCUCACUCCCAGCCAAUUCUACCUAUUUCCUGGCUCACCCAUGCUAUAUUGACCCUUCCCUGUGAACAACACCUGUUACUGGUGUCACGUAUGUGUUGUGCAUGGUGGGCGCUGCACAAGGACAUCUGGCCAGGGAAGGAGGAUAAAGGCUUAAAUCCAGCCAAAUCGUAUGACUCACUGAGGAGCUGUGUUUGCUUAGAGGACAGGUACCUUUUCCCAAUGGAAAAGAAGCACUGGAGAAGGAUGGCUCUGUAUGUAUAGAAUUAUAUACAAGUGAUAGAAUUAACUUUUCAUCUCUUUGUCUUGUAUUCUCUUGAGAUUAUAAGCUCCUUGCAGAGUCAGGCUUUGAUUUUCUUGUAGAUAAUCCCAUGAAAUAAUGCACAAUUUAAUUCUGAAUUAUGGCAAGAGCACUGGGUUCUGAGUAAGAGGUUGUGCUAAAAGUUCUUUAAGGAUAGAGCUAACUCAUUUCUUUACCUAUUAGUCCCUUUCACAUAAGAAGUCUUUAACAAAAGAGAAAUACAUCCCCAAUAAAUAUCUGAUUGCUCACUUAUUUAUGGUAACAGUGGGAAAACAUCAAUACCACUGUCUUUUAAGAAUGUUUCAAUACCUAUCUUAAGUUUAUUGGAAGCAGAGGCAGUAAUGGGACCAUUUUCUUCUGAGGACUCAGAACAGUUUUUAGUUGGGGCUCUUGGGUCUGGGUCUUCAUUCUCUCCUCCAGAGCAACAUUGCACUGGGACUUCAUGGUGGGCUAGAAAAAUGGGUCUGAAUCCUCCUGCUCAUUCAAGAGCCAGACUCUUCUCCAUAGGCCAAGGAGGAGAGCCACAUGUCUCCAUAGGCUAAGGAGGAGAGCCAAUGUCUGUCCCCAAGGUGUUCCUGGAUCGUCAGUGUGAAGACAUGUAGGGAAGUGGCCACACAAUUAUACAAGAGGCCCUACAGCAGGAGUGGGUCCAGAGGCCGGAGGGGUUCUACGAGGCAGCAGAGACCCACUCUCCUUGUAUGUGGGCAGACACAGGUAGAGCGACUGGAGAGAGGAUGAAGACCCAUAUACCCUCAGUAGAGCCUUUAAGAACCCUUGUAGUCUGACCCCUGGCAACUUCUCCAGUUCCACCCAGGACCAGCACCCCCAGCUCUGUGCUCAGUGUGAGCCUUCUUCCUGCUCCUCACCAGCUCCAGGCCCAGGCAGCUCCCUCUGCUGGGAACCCUCUCUUCUGCCAUGGCUGCCACACCCACCUCAUUUGCCUAAUCAUCCCUUCUCGUUUUCCACAUACCAGCUCAAAUAUCACUUCUUCAGGGAAGCCUUCUCUGAUUCCCAGACCACCUUAGCCCUUCUGCCUCGUACAUCUUUGAUCACUUUUCCUUUGUCAUACAUCAGUUUGUAAUCAUAAACUUAUUUUUGUGGA